CGUAGGGGCAAGCGUUGUCCGGAAUUAUUGGGCGUAAAGCGCGCGCAGGCGGUGAUUUAAGUUUGGUGUUUAAGCCCGGGGCUCAACCUCGGUUCGCAUCGAAAACUGGGUCACUUGAGUGUAGGAGAGGAAAGUGGAAUUCCACGUGUAGCGGUGAAAUGCGUAGAGAUGUGGAGGAACACCAGUGGCGAAGGCGACUUUCUGGCCUAUAACUGACGCUGAGGCGCGAAAGCGUGGGGAGCAAACAGGAUU
rnacentral:rRNA from 1 species